rnacentral:piRNA from 1 species
UCUAGGCCCUGUUCUAAAGCUGAGUGCUUCA